UACGUAGGGGGCAAGCGUUAUCCGGAUUUACUGGGUGUAAAGGGAGCGUAGACGGCCGUGCAAGCCAGGAGUGAAAGCCCGGGGCCCAACCCCGGGACUGCUCUUGGAACUGUGCGGCUGGAGUGCGGGAGGGGCAGGCGGAAUUCCUGGUGUAGCGGUGAAAUGCAUAGAUAUCACGCAGAACUCCGAUUGCGAAGGCAGCUUACUAAGCCAUAACUGACACUGAAGCACGAAAGCGUGGGGAUCAAACAGG
rnacentral:rRNA from 1 species